CGUGAGAUGUUGGGUUAAGUCCCGCAACGAGCGCAACCCCUAUCGUCAGUUACCAGCGGUUCGGCCGGGGACUCUGACGAAACUGCCGCCGACAAGGUGGAGGAAGGUGGGGAUGACGUCAAGUCAGCAUGGCCCUUACGUCCGGGGCUACACGCGUACUACAAUGGCUGGUACAAUGGGGUGCAAUACCGCAAGGUGGAGCGAAUCCUCAAAACCAGCCCUAGUUCAGAUUGGGGUCUGCAACUCGACCCCAA
rnacentral:rRNA from 1 species